UCCUCUUCUUUGCUAGCCCUCCGGAGCUCAACUUUUGUCUGCUUUUGACUGGACAAGUUUUUCAUUCUGCAGCUGUUUCACUCUCUUGAACCUUCAUCGUUGUCUUUGAGCAGGAGGACCAUUGCUCCUGGAACUGAACCUGCCUCCGGUCCAUAUGGAGACUGACCACAAGAAAAACUCCACAGGCCAUGCCAUUAUUACCAGAAGUGUUACAGACUAGACUAGAAAGUGAGGCUAGGAGACAGAAACUGCCAUGUAGCAAACCACAAGCCUUUGGGGCACUGACUACUGGCUUGUCCUAGGUCUCUGAGUCCAUCUCAUGCCCCUGCCAAU
rnacentral:lncRNA from 1 species